ensembl:lncRNA
CAUUUAUAUGGCUGGCUAGCAUUCACUUGAGAUUUUUGCAGUGCACUUUCAGAGUUUCCCUGAAACUAAACAGUUAGAUAAGUAAACAGUCUUCACUCUGAUUUCAGUGCAUUAUUGCCUUCUUAGUCAUUACUAAGCAUAUCUUGUUCAUCUAACAGCAGUAGCAUUAGCAGCAGCAGCAAGUGGUUUUUCUAGUUCAUGCAUGUGAGAAUACAAUGUCAACCAUUGCGGAUUUUAGGACAGUAAAGUGUAUUUGGAUUACCUUAUCUUCUGUGGGCAUUUGUUUCUACAUUAAAGGUGGGGAGGAUGUGUGAAGCGUGACCCCAGACCAAAGCCACCGCUUCCUUUUUGGAUGUUUCUAUGCCUCAUGGUUUAUGUUGCUUGCUGCAUGAUGUUGGAUGGGACCCACUUUUGUCCGAUUGAUAAGAUUCCAGCCAGCUGUCGCUUCCAAAUCGCACAUGGUGUCCCUCGAUACAGGAAUGACCUUCACAGCCAACUACCCAUGACACUCAUUUGUCCUUUUCUAUUCCCAGUGACUUCUUUACUUAAUGUGCUUUCAGUCAACAUAAAUUCAGAAUUCACUGUUUAGUUGAUUCACUUCUACAUGUUCUUCCAAAGGAAAUGUUUGUCUUUGUUUUAUCAAAUCAUAAUGUAAUGAGACUCUUCUACUGAAGUAACUGCCUUUCCAUUAGGUGGCAGGGG